GGAUGUGAGGGCGAUCUGGCUGCGACAUCUGUCACCCCAUUGAUCGCCAGGGUUGAUUCGGCUGAUCUGGCUGGCUAGGCGGGUGUCCCCUUCCUCCCUCACCGCUCCAUGUGCGUCCCUCCCGAAGCUGCGCGCUCGGUGGAAGAGGACGACCAUCCCAGAGAGAAGGAGUGUACCGUUCUUCGGUCAAGGGUAUACGAUAGCUGCGCUCCCCUGCUAGAACCUCCAAACAAGCUCAAGAAUGUGUGCUUUUAUUUAAAAUGCAUCUCUGGGUUAUUUGUGGGGCAUAAGAAUUCAUUCUUUUUUUAAAAAAAUAU